rnacentral:rRNA from 1 species
GACGAACGCUGGCGGCGUGCUUAACACAUGCAAGUCGAACGGAAAGGCCCUGCUUUUGUGGGGUGCUCGAGUGGCGAACGGGUGAGUAACACGUGAGUAACCUGCCCUUGACUUUGGGAUAACUUCAGGAAACUGGGGCUAAUACCGGAUAGGAGCUCCUGCUGCAUGGUGGGGGUUGGAAAGUUUCGGCGGUUGGGGAUGGACUCGCGGCUUAUCAGCUUGUUGGUGGGGUAGUGGCUUACCAAGGCUUUGACGGGUAGCCGGCCUGAGAGGGUGACCGGCCACAUUGGGACUAAGAUACGGCCCAGGCUCCUACGGGAGGCAGCAGUGGGGAAUAUUGCACAAUGGGCGGAAGCCUGAUGCAGCAACGCCGCGUGCGGGAUGACGGCCUUCGGGUUGUAAACCGCUUUCGCCUGUGACGAAGCGUGAGUGACGGUAAUGGGUAAAGAAGCACCGGCUAACUACGUG